rnacentral:rRNA from 1 species
UACGUAGGGGGCGAGCGUUGUCCGGAGUUACUGGGCGUAAAGGGCAUGCAGGCGGUCAGACGCGUUUUGUGUGACAGCGGAGGGCUUCACUCUCCGAGCAUACGAAAGACGGUGUGACUUGAGGGCUCGAGAGGGACACGGAAUUCCCGGUGGAGUGGUGAAAUGCGUAGAGAUCCGGAGGAACACCGAAGGCGAAGGCAGUGUCCUGGCGAGUAUCCUGACGCUGAGGUGCGAAAGCCAGGGGGAGCGAACGGG